GAUGAACGCUGGCGGCGUGCCUAAUACAUGCAAGUCGAGCGAACAGACGAGGAGCUUGCUCCUCUGACGUUAGCGGCGGACGGGUGAGUAACACGUGGAUAACCUACCUCUAAGACUGGGAUAACUUCGGGAAACCGGAGCUAAUACCGGAUAAUAUAUUGAACCGCAUGGUUCAAUAGUGAAAGACGGUUUUGCUGUCACUUAUAGAUGGAUCCGCGCCGCAUUAGCUAGUUGGUAAGGUAACGGCUUACCAAGGCAACGAUGCGUAGCCGACCUGAGAGGGUGAUCGGCCACACUGGAACUGAGACACGGUCCAGACUCCUACGGGAGGCAGCAGUGGGGAAUCUUGCGCAAAGGGCGAAAGCCUGACGGAGCAACGCCGCGUGAGUGAUGAAGGUCUUCGGAUCGUAAAACUCUGUUAUUAGGGAAGAACAAAUGUGUAAGUAACUAUGCACGUCUUGACGGUACCUAAUCAGAAAGCCACGGCUAACUACGUG
rnacentral:rRNA from 1 species